rnacentral:rRNA from 1 species
GAUAAACGCUGGCGGCGUGCCUAACACAUGCAAGUCGAACGCCCUGCGCAAGCAGGGAGUGGCGGACGGGUGAGUAACACGUGGAUGAUCUACCUUAAGGUGAGGAAUACCGACGAGAAAUCGUUGACAAUACCGCAUAUGUUUCUUCGGAAAUAAAGUUCCUUCGGGAACGCCUUGAGAUGAGUCCGCGCCCGAUUAGCUAGUUGGUGGGGUAAAAGCCUACCAAGGCUGCAAUCGGUAGCUGGUCUGAGAGGACGAGCAGCCACACUGGGAUUGA